rnacentral:snRNA from 1 species
UUGCUUUGGCAGCACAUACACUAAAAUUGGAAUGGUGCAGAGAUUAGCAUGGCCUAUACACACAAAUUCACAAAGUGUUCCAUAUUUUU